rnacentral:rRNA from 1 species
CGUGCAGGCGGCUCGGUAAGUCGGAUGUGAAAGCCCGGAGCUCAACUUCGGAAGUGCAUUCGAAACUGUCGGGCUCGAGUACGGGAGAGGGAAGUGGAAUUCCUGGUGUAGAGGUGAAAUUCGUAGAUAUCAGGAGGAACACCGGUGGCGAAGGCGGCUUCCUGGACCGAUACUGACGCUGAGACGCGAAAGCGUGGGGAGCAAACA